rnacentral:rRNA from 1 species
GUUUGAUCAUGGCUCAGAUUGAACGCUGGCGGCAGGCCUAACACAUGCAAGUCGAGCGGAUGAAGGGAGCUUGCUCCUGGAUUCAGCGGCGGACGGGUGAGUAAUGCCUAGGAAUCUGCCUGGUAGUGGGGGAUAACGUCCGGAAACGGGCGCUAAUACCGCAUACGUCCUGAGGGAGAAAGUGGGGGAUCUUCGGACCUCACGCUAUCAGAUGAGCCUAGGUCGGAUUAGCUAGUUGGUGGGGUAAAGGCCUACCAAGGCGACGAUCCGUAACUGGUCUGAGAGGAUGAUCAGUCACACUGGAACUGAGACACGGUCCAGACUCCUACGGGAGGCAGCAGUGGGGAAUAUUGGACAAUGGGCGAAAGCCUGAUCCAGCCAUGCCGYGUGUGUGAAGAAGGUCUUCGGAUUGUAAAGYACUUUAAGUUGGGAGGAAGGGCAGUAAGUUAAUACCUUGCUGUUUUGACGUUACCAACAGAAUAAGCACCGGCUAACUUCGUGCCAGCAGCCGCGGUAAUACGAAGGGUGCAGGCGUUAAUCGGAAUUACUGGGCGUAAAGCGCGCGUAGGUGGUUCAGCAAGUUGUGUGAAAGUCCUGAGCUUAACUUGGGUUUGUCAUGUGAAACUGUUUUGCUAGAGUCUGGCAGAGGCGAGUGGAAUUUCCUGUGUAGCGGUGAAAUGCGCAGAUAUAGGAAAGAACACCAGUGGCGAAGGCGACUCGCUGGGUCAAGACUGACGCUGAGGUGCGAAAGCGUGGGUAGCAAACAGGAUUAGAUACCCUGGUAGUCCACGCCGUAAACGAUGAGAACUUGCUGUUGGGAUCCUUUGGGGUUUCAGUAGCGUAGCUAACGCGGUAAGUUCUCCGCCUGGGGAGUACGGUCGCAAGACUAAAACUCAAAGGAAUUGACGGGGACCCGCACAAGCGGUGGAGCAUGUGGUUUAAUUCGAUGCAACGCGAAGAACCUUACCUGGUCUUGACAUACUCGGAACUUUUCAGAAAUGAAUUGGUGCCUUCGGGAGCCGAGAUACAGGUGCUGCAUGGCUGUCGUCAGCUCGUGUCGUGAGAUGUUGGGUUAAGUCCCGCAACGAGCGCAACCCCUAUCAUUAGUUACCAGCACUUCGGGUGGGAACUCUAAUGAGACUGCCGGUGACAAACCGGGAGAAAGGGGGGGACAACGUCAAGUCAUCAUGGCCCUUAUGACCAGGGCUACACACGUGCUACAAUGGGGCAUACAAAGAGUCGCGAGACAGCAAUGUUUAGCUAAUCUCAUAAAGUGCUUCGUAGUCCGGAUUGCACUCUGCAACUCGAGUGCAUGAAGUCGGAAUCGCUAGUAAUCGCAGAUCAGAAUGCUGCGGUGAAUACGUUCCCGGGUCUUGUACACACCGCCCGUCACACCAUGGAAGUGGGUUGCACCAGAAGUCAAUAGCUUAACCUUCGGGAGAGCGUUGCCCACGGUGUGAUUCAUGACUGGGAUGAAGUCGUAACAAGGUAGCCGUA